CACGCCGUAAACGAUGAAUGCUAGGUGUGGGAGGUAUCGACCCCUUCCGUGCCGGAGUAAACACAAUAAGCAUUCCGCCUGGGGAGUACGGCCGCAAGGCUAAAACUCAAAGGAAUUGACGGGGGCCCGCACAAGCAGCGGAGCAUGUGGUUUAAUUCGAAGCAACGCGAAGAACCUUACCAGGUCUUGACAUCCAAUUAAGCUCAUGGAAACAUGAAGUCUCUACGGAGGAAUUGAGACAGGUGG
rnacentral:rRNA from 1 species